GAUUGCCCAUAUAAGUUCGUUCCUGGGUUGUAUUCGGUCCUGUCAUUGACAGGGACAUCGGAUCACCACAUCGUAAAGGUUGACAUAAUGAAAUGUGCAAACAACCCUUCCCACAAAAGUGACGGCAACAACAAUAAAAUUACCAAGAAAAGGCGACGACAGCGCAAGCACCAGACAGUCAUAAAGAUCACAGGCACUGCUCCACCUUCAAAGGGUAUCUAGACAACGAAUACAUUAAGCAAAGUUGAAUGACAUUACAUUUUAGAGUUGAAGAGGGGAGUGUUCUGGGGUGAUGGCUUCCUCACAUCCGUAUAGAUUUCAACACGACAGAAGUGAAUUCUUACCUUUCAGCUGGGGAUUGGAGCUGAACCGUCCUGGCAAGUUAUUUUUGAGUAUUGUAUAUAUAUAUUUUUUUCGCUUGUAAUUUUAACUGCAAGAUUCAGAUCAGUUUUUGUUGAGGGCGACAUCUUGACUUGA